AUAAUAAUACGUGAAGAGGGUCUGCUCUAUGGGUUGUACAUUUGUGUCCUUGAUUGCUAUGGAGACGGGAACCUCAGUCGGGUGAAUUAACCAUGACCUUGUGAUCAGACCGUGAUUAACAGCCCUACGACUCUUGGAUCGUUUGAGCGGUAGGUGAUCGCUGUCAGCCGUUGUAACAACCGGCUGGGGUGGUUACACGAUUGUCUGACAGACC